rnacentral:rRNA from 1 species
UGGGGAAUAUUGCACAAUGGGCGCAAGCCUGAUGCAGCCAUGCCGCGUGUAUGAAGAAGGCCUUCGGGUUGUAAAGUACUUUCAGCGGGGAGGAAGGGAGUAAAGUUAAUACCUUUGCUCAUUGACGUUACCCGCAGAAGAAGCACCGGCUAACUCCGUGCCAGCAGCCGCGGUAAUACGGAGGGUGCAAGCGUUAAUCGGAAUUACUGGGCGUAAAGCGCACGCAGGCGGUUUGUUAAGUCAGAUGUGAAAUCCCCGGGCUCAACCUGGGAACUGCAUCUGAUACUGGCAAGCUUGAGUAUCGUAGAGGGGGGUAGAAGUCCAGGUGUAGCGGUGAAAUGCGUAGAGAUAUGGAGGAAUACCGGGGGAGAAGGCGGCCCCCUGGACGAAGACUGACGCUCAGGUGCGAAAGCGUGGGGAGCAAACAGG